AUCACCACAUAUAUAUCCAUAAAUUUAAACUUGAGCGCAUGUGCACAAAAAACCGCGAACUUCCAUCGCUAUAUUAUUAUCUAAUAGUGUUAUCGCUCGUGGAAAGUGGAAGGGAUUUUUCUGUGACACGCUUGUGGCUAACAUAUUAUAUUUUAGUAGAGCAGAGCGCACCGCGAUGUGUUGCAGUGUCGUCUGCAUUACACCAUUCGCUUGUUGUAACAUUAUAGUUGUACAGUUUAUUAUUCUCUUGCCGUUUUACUUGAAAGUUAAAGCCGCCCUGCCGCCUGGAGCUGAGGACGAAAUUAUACUUAUUGAGCAUCUUCCUGGAAGACGAGUACACCUGCAAGAUUUUUUUUGGACUGGUUUAGAAGACGCGCCACCAUGGAUAGAUCCAGAACAAACACUUACGUACUACGAAACUCGUACUGUUCAUCAUACAGCAACAGUUUACGUCCCAGGAGAGGAUGUAGGUCGAGGAAAAGACUCUGGAAGUGGAACUCGCGAUCCCGGAUGUAUCUCUUGCAUAGAACCCACUCCGACAUUGAUUGACCCUGACCAAGAAAUUGGUAUUUUUAUUGGCGAAGAUCCAGAUCCGAAAUACUGGCUUUUAACAGUACUUAAAGCUGGUGAAAACGUACCGUCAAGAGUUGAACUCAGGUUAGCUCGUUUAUACAGAGCUGCCUUUACGCGUCAACAACAGCGGCACUUGGGACUCUUAACUACGGAUCCUCGUCUUCGAAGAGCUACCAACAAAAAACUUACACCACUGGAUGAUGAUAAAAUAGUAUCAAGAGAAUUUACAAACAAUAGUAUGAAAAAUGAGUUGAAAAAUACUGUAGCAAUUGCCAGUUCAACAGUAGUACCAGAAUCAAUAGUAAAUAAUAAUCUCACUAGUUAUAUUGAGGUUGAAAAAAAAAUGAAAGAGAUUAAGAUUUUAAAUAUUUCUCAUGAAAAUAAAUCAACAGUUAUAAGUGAGAAUUUAGAUAAGAAAUUAGUAGAUAAUACAGAAUCAAAACUAACUUUAAAUAAUAAUGCAAUAGAUGUUAAACCAGCAAUAACAUCUUUAAAAAAUGAAACAUCAGAGUUAUUGAUGGAAAAAAUAGUCAAAAAUCCACAAGCUCUACGAUCAAAUCCAGACCAUUAUUAUGUGGAUUACAAUGAAGAUAAUAUAAAGCCAAAUACUAAUGUUAAUAUAAAUUCAAAGACUGAAAUUGAAAGACAUGAACAAACUUCACUCAACGAUACAAAAUCUAACGAAACAAAAGUUGAUAUUAAUGAUGAAAAAAUAGAUAUAGUAAAUAAUCAAUCUUCAUUAUCAACAGUUAAGCAAAAUAUAUCUAGUUUAAAUAAUAAAACGGAAUAUUAUUCAUCAAGUUCAAGAUUAAAAACCGCAGGUACAGGAAUUGUUCAAGUUAAAAUGCAAAACACGAGUGUUCAACAAGAUGGAUCGACAAAGUUAAUUUAUUCUGUUCAUUUGGGAGGAAAACCUGUGCCUGCGGAAACAGCAGCCAAAGAUAUGGCGCUCCUUUCUUCUCAAGAAGUUGCUUUAGAGCUUGGUGUGCCAGUUAUUAUUCAAAGUCAACCUUACUUGAAAGAAACUCAACCGCUUGCAUUGUCGAGAAAACCAGAAGUUUGGCUGUUGAUUAGCACCGCAGGAGCGAUUGUUAUACUUUUAACUUUAAUAAUAAUUGGUAUUAUUUUAAUUGCGAGGAAAAAAAAAAUUCACAGUACUGUUUCUGCUCCUCCAACUCAAAGUAUUUUAAAAAAAGAAGCGGGGUAUACGACGUCUACACCAGGAUUAGACAACACUGGAUAUACAUCAGAGACGGAAGGAAGAACGGAUGGUACCAGUCAGAGACGGACACCAGGAAGUUUUUCUCGAACUCCAGGUACCCCUAUUACGCCUAACACUAUUGACGACGAUAUACAAGAGUUGUCGAGUGACGAGGACGAGGAAGCUAAAAAACAAAUCCAAGGCUCUUGGGAUAUUCAGGAGUAUCCAACGUUACCAUCUAAAGACAGAACUGGAAGAAAACGAAUAACAAAAAUGAAUGCUAUUGAAACACUAGACAGUCCUAAUUCGAUGGAGACAGUAGCUAAUGAUAAUGAAAGGGGUGAAUGUCUUGAAAAUGGUUAUGCUCAUCACUUAGAAGAAACAGCUUCACCGCAUUCUUAUUUAUCAAUGCCGCCUUGCAAAUUAUUUCCAAGUAUGAGAAGUGUAGAGCCGCUUUCUAGGAUAUUAGAACCAGUUGUGGUCCGACAUUUAGAUAUGGAGUUUGAAACUCCCGAGAUGACGAGACGCGAGAAUGGUUUUAUUAAUAAAAAGUUAGGAGAUGAGUCACUAGGACGAACAAGAAGUGCAGUAAAGGAUCCAGGAGUUGUUGGUCCGAUUGUUUGGGAUCUUAGAAGACAACGAGCGGUUGAAGAUUUGAAUUAUUCUUGCAGAAAAUCUGGAUACGGAAAUGGACGUAGAACGGCAACUGCCAUUGUCGGGUCCCGUAGGACGAGCCAGGAGAAGACUCCACGAGCUUCUCGAGGACUCGUUCAGUCUAUUCACCGCAAAGGACAUAAAAACCAAAGAAACAAACAUUUCAGUAUCUUCACAUUCAAACGGAAUUUCACACGAUCGUGUUACGACGUGCUUGGAGUCGAAAGAGAAAUGUACUCUCGUCAGUCCGGCCGAAAGUCCAAUGGAUCAAACGAGAAUGCGUCCACGAACUUCUCUACCGCGCGACAUUCUCGAAGAAUCAAUACCGGAAACAGGAAACACAAGCGUACCAACCCGAGGGGCAUGGGGAUCGAGACCAAUGAGUGCGGGGCCGUUUCACCGACCGAAUUUACCAGAAGUAAAUGUUACUCGCGUACUCGCGGAUACUCAUCUAGCUCCGGAUGAUCCGGCUGUUCCACUUAUUGCUGCUAUUCGAAAAGAACUAGAAAAAUUUACGCCAGAUAAAAUUUAGAUUUCCAUAUAUUAAUUAAGGGUAAUUCGAAUUA
rnacentral:misc_RNA from 1 species